UACGUAGGGUGCAAGCGUUGUCCGGAAUUAUUGGGCGUAAAGAGCUCGUAGGCGGUCUGUCGCGUCUGCUGUGAAAACUCGGGGCUUAACCCCGGGCCUGCAGUGGGUACGGGCAGACUAGAGUGCGGUAGGGGAGAUUGGAAUUCCUGGUGUAGCGGUGGAAUGCGCAGAUAUCAGGAGGAACACCGAUGGCGAAGGCAGAUCUCUGGAACGUACCUGACGCUGAGACACGAAAGCGUGGGGAGCAAACAGG
rnacentral:rRNA from 1 species